rnacentral:tRNA from 3 species
AGUAGGGUCAGCUAAAAAAGCUAUCGGGCCCAUACCCCGAAAACGAUGGUUUAACCCUUCCCCUACUA